AAUAUCCAAAUAUAAGAAUGGGACUAAGGGUCAAAUUGGUAAUUUUUCUUACACCCCCCACACCCAAGGGCCCAUGUAUCCUAUACACCGCCAAAAUAAAGAGCCUUGAGUGCUAGAAGAAAAUCACAUAGACCUAACGAAAUUAAGUGGAUACCCAAAAUUGUAGUAAUUUUAUUUCUAUCUUUCUA
rnacentral:antisense_RNA from 3 species